CUCUACAUGUUAAAAAAAUUACAAUUAAAUAUCAGUAGUCCGUCGCACGUCGGUCGCAUAAAGAUGACGCAAUACGGAAACGUAAUGUAAACAAACAAAAAAAAAAAUUGUAUUCUUCUUUUAUGGUGUCUGUCGACGGUUGGCAAACAACAUCAGGGUGCAUUACCGCCACCCACUGACAUGUGUGGACCUCACAAUGACUCCUUAGGAUAUUAUUGGUACAACUUUGUCGAAUUGUUUUAUUAUGUAUAUGAAUAAUACUGUCACUGCUCACGAUUAAAGACAUGUUUAAAUAUCUCUACACACAAUAAAAUAUUUCCUUUAUUAAAUGUGGGUUACUGUACAGGAAGAAAUCAACUUUUUGUCAAGGUUUAGAAAUGUAUAUAUAUUUACUUCGUACAUCUAUAUUCAAAGGCUGCACCAGUCGUUUAAUUUCCCGUUGACAGUGAAAGCACCACGCGUCCUCUGUCCAAUCACUAUGACCCAUUUUGCUAAAGCACUUUUUUGAACCCAAGGCGCCUUUGUGCUCGGCUGCGGUUCCUCUACGCAAGCUAUCACUGUAAAGAAAGAGAAUUGUACAAUUGUUAACAGACAUGGAUUUUAGUAAUGCAUUGCAAAAGAACGGUCUUCGAUACAAAAAGGCCCUGGACCGAAUCAUAGAUAAGUAUUCGAAGCUUCAGUAUCACAACGGGGGCAUAGAGGUGGACCUCGAAAAUACAAAUACCGCAACAAUUGGUCGCUACAUGGAGAUGGCAGAACUCGAGCUGAGCAAGUUGGAGUCAAAGAGCUCCGCAGAUUCGAGAGAUGAGUCAUUAAGAUCACAAGACACUACAAGAGAUUCCCAGUUGGACUUCACAUUUCAAAGUACUGAAUUUCAUGAUACUCCUGCAUCAACCAGACAAUUGUUUGGAGAGGAUGAUGGAAUGGCUGGAAGUGAGCCAACCCAGCUGACUGUGAGCCUACUGCAUGAAAGUGGGGGAAGCUUUUCAGAGACGGAGAUUCAACCUGAAGACCAAGACGAGGAACUGCAAAUGACACUGAGAAGUCAUAACACUUUGGGGGACCUCUACCCCAGCAUGAUCAGUCGAAUAGAAACGGCCUGGCAUCGAAAUAAUGUGUCUCAGGCUGCUGACGCUGUGCUGACCAAGUACCGCAAAUGGCGAAAGCAUUCAAGAAGCAAUAUCAGCAUCAACACUUCAAUUGUUUCACUGCAGCAUAGCAAGGAAAGGCAGAUGACCAGCAGCAUUCUGCUCCCGGAAGACCUCCCAGAAAGAGGGCAGUACACAAGGGCUGAAUAUUUGCCACGGUCUCCUUUGAAGAUGGUACAUAAGCUGCAGGACAGGAUGGCACAACAGCAGUUGCCUGGUAGGCAGACGAGCUCACAGACAAGAGAGCAGCACAAGCCUAUCCUCUCGAUGGACUUUUAUGAGCCACCUGAGACUUCAAGGCCACAAAAAAUCUUGCUUAACAAGACCUUCUCUGUGCCUGAUUUGACCCUUCUAGGAGAACAGUCCUAUUCCUAUCAUGGGAGUCCUUCACGGCCUUGCUAUCCCACUGCAAACGCAGCCUUGCAGAGUUCUCUUUGGAAUAAAAGGCUUUCCCUGUCUGCACACAAACAGCAGGCUGCUGAAGGCUCUGUGUUUGCAUCAGAAAACAAUGCUGUUAAUGACAGACAUGUCUAUAGCUCCCCAGUCAGACAAAGUCCAUCGAAGAUGAGGAUGUUGACCAGCUUCAGUGGUUCACCUAGAUCCUUUUACAGAAGCCCCAAAGAAUCACGUAGAGAAAGCUUUUCAAGAGAGACUGCACAGUCUUCAUCAGUGUCAACAUUUCUGUCCUCCCCUUUGCAAAAACCUACUGGGAACAGGAUACUCUACCCUCAACACUCCAACCACACUCUCCAGCUGCCUUCACUUCAGUCAGCUAGUCCAGAAGGUCGUGUCAGGCUCCGAAGGCAUCUUUUCUGCGAUUCAUCCCAGCCAGUACUCAGUACUUCCCACUCACCAAAGCAGAUCGAUGAAGACUUUAAAAAACUGUACCACAAGUUUGUAUGUCAGAACAAGUCUUUCUAUAAUAUCCCUCCCUGUCGUCUCUGUGCUGAACGCUCUAGAGCCAACCAAAGUCACUCGUCCUCGGUGCUGGCUGCACUGGCCUUGUCACCUCACCGCUCUGUCUUGAGGAAGCGCCAAAGAGAGUCAGGCUCGGACAGCCGCCCCCACUCUAAGCGCUCCAGGGAAGAGUAUUAUACAUACUCCCCAGGCUCCAAACGUCGUGAGAAUGAAGUGCUGGGGCACUGUCUUCCUUCAUCUCAGCUUGAGCAUCAUCAUGACCGUAAACGCAGUGUGUUUCAAAAUGUCGGUACCCAGCACCACUCAGCAGAUGCCAGGAGGAUUCAAGGUCUGACUUUGUCUGGCUACGGUAUGUGAGUGUAGAGCAGCACACAGCUACUGCCACAG
ensembl:lncRNA uncharacterized LOC114853786